GCAAAAAGCUCCUCGCUCCUCACAGGCUGAAUCAUUUCCUUCACAUUCACAGACGUGACAGUCCUUUCAAUCACGAUGAGGAGCUCUGUGGUGUUUUGCCUAGCUGUCAGCUUUGCCAUGUUUGGAUUUGGCCUCUCGCUGCAGUGUUACUCUUGCCCGGGCGGGUCUUCCCAGAACUGUGCAGUC